CACGCCCUAAACUAUGAAUGUUAGUCGUCGGGGGGCUUGUCUUCUCGGUGAUGCAGCUAACGCAUUAAACAUUCCGCCUGGGGAGUACGGUCGCAAGAUUAAAACUCAAAGGAAUAGACG
rnacentral:rRNA from 1 species